rnacentral:lncRNA from 1 species
AUGUGCAGCAAGCUGAUGUUCCCUUUCAGGAACACCCACUGCAUGCUAGCAAAGCAGCCAUUUGUCUGUUGUGACUAUGACCCAGACACUGUAUCAGUCUUCAGUACUGGACUCCUCCAUCACCAGAGCCUGGAUGCAGAAACCUCUGAAAAAUUCAGCCACACAGCAACACAACAGGAACAAGAUAACAUGAAAUGUGCUGGGUUGCAGAUGCUGUGGGUUAAUUUCCCAGAUUACUACCACGUGUGGUGGCUAGAGGUAACACAAGCAAAUGCCUCUCACGGGCAUCUGCCCUAUCGCUCAGGCUGGUGGCUCCAGACCGAUGGCAGAAGGUAGCUAUGACUACCAUGAGGCAGAGGGUAAGUGUGUCUGGCCAAGGGUGACAGUACACAGCCUGUCAAGUCUUCUCCUGUAACUGCUCCGUCACAUGUUUCCACUCCACAUUUCUGCUCAAGGAAAAAUCUGACAUGGCAAUGGGCAGUGUUAAGUGUUAUUAGAGCAGUUAAUGCAUUGAAAAACUACUCCUGAGGUUCCCUUCUGAUGUCUUCCCUGUGUUGUAGCAUCUUGUUCAGUGCUUACUGACACUUGCAGAUUUUAGAAAAUUAUGCAGUAAUUACAGUGUAUUAUCAUUAUCUUUAAUUCUGAUAUGUGGCUUAUCAUAAAACUCCUCUUAAACAAUUUCUUGUUUUUCCUGAAGUGUGGCUGCAAAUGACAUCAUUUGUGUGUGAACUUCAGCUGGAUAUGGUAACACCUUGUAAAAUACUUUAACAAGACAGAAAUGCUUAAAUAAAGUUUGGGUUUGGUUUCA